UUUUGUUUAAAUCCCUGCUGCUCCGUCGGUGAUCUAAUCAGGACAGCAGCCAGGCCUGCUCUGCCCACGGCUCCCGCAGCGCCCGUCUCGCCGGGAGCUGCAGCAUAAUGCACCUCCAGAAUGGAUGGCUGAAUCAAAAACAAAGCAGCAUCACAAAAUUGUCAACACUGUAGCAAGGGAGCUGAUGUGGAACUGAGAAUAAAAUAAAAUGAAAGAAAACCUCCAACCCCCCCAGAAAAACUAAAACAGUCAAAGAAAGAAAAAAGUCAGCUUAAAGAGAAUUCAUAGACCAGAAGAAAUACCUCAUGACAAACUGCCUGAGGAAGAAGUGGAGAUACUUAAAGAAAUGCUGAUGUUUUCAGAGACAGAAGUAGGAAGAAGAAAAGGUUGAAAGUUGUGAAUCUGAAUCCCUGAAGGGAACAUUAAGGUAAAAAAGUCUAUUCAAGCACAUUAAGGCAGAGCUUAUUUGUACAUUCUGCAGCUGAAGCAAAUAUUCAGUAAGAUUACUACUAUUUAAAAUGUUAUAAAGACAAUCUCAUAUAGACUUGUCAAGUAAGACAAGAAAAGACAAGACGGAGAAAACGAGGAUUUUACUGUUCAAGGUUUCAAGCUAAUGUACUAAUCACCAACUCCCCCUUCGAUUCCUUCCUCUUCCGUAGAGCAACUGGCUAAGUGAUAGGAUGAGAGUCACUCUGGAGCUUUUACAGCAAAAGGCAUGGCAAACCUGUGGAGCUGUCUGUGAAGGUGACAGGUGAAGCACCAUCCUAGCACUACCUCCUGGCCCUGGUGCAGCUAACUUCUGAGAGCAAAGCAGGAACAAGUCUGCUGGUCAGCAACACUAUCUCAUUUGGACAUUAUUUCUAGUGACAAAUAUAGAUUUUGAGCACAGAUUCAUCAGAAAAAGUCUAUGGGCAGAAAAAGCAUGAAAAAUCUUUUUGGUCCAUUAGCCCUACAAUUUAGAAGUAGGGUGGAAGUGAAAGGAGCACUCAUUGCUUCCACUGGUCAAUAUCAUAUUCCAUGGUGGAUAUCUACAAUCCAUGAUCAAAUCCGCCCUUAACCUUCUCUGCACAAAGCAGAAGCUACUGAAGUCUUUUAGUAAAGUGUUUCUACACACUUUGCCUUCAAGCAAGUGCCUGUUCAAGCAGUACUGUAUACUUCUCAUCAAAGAAACAAGUUUAUUUUCAAAGUAUUGACACACUGUAUUUUGAGACCUUUGAAAAUCCUUGCUGUACUGAAGGCUGCUCAGCACAAACACAGAACCCUUGAAAAUCCAGCUGUAAUUUUAGCUAAGAAAUACUGCUGGCAAAGAGCAAAAAAUUUAGAAAUUUGGAAAGAACUGAAAAGAGUUGCAUAAGCAGUGCAGGUGAAGAGGCCUCUGAGAUCUAGUUUGGAAAGACAUCAAAAGGAUGUCUAUAUAUGUGUGUGUGUAUGCCUGGAAAGUGUUGUAUGAUGUUCCAGCCCUCAGAACAUCUUUCCUACAAAAAAGUUACAUCCUGCUUGAAAGCUUCCUUGGAAUUGCUGAGAUUCAUUGUAUUAUAAAAAUGCACAGUUUUGUUAGGAUGCAAGGAUUUCUGGCUGCACAUUAUUUUUGCUGUAAAGUGCACUGAGAUGAUAAGCUUCCAGCAACUCCGUCCAACUCAAUUAUCUGCAUCCUUCCAGGUGGAGACGUCAGGACUUUAUGCCAUUUUUGUAAUUUCACUAUUUUACAGCUCAAACUUCUACAUGGAGCCAGAGCAAUCUAAAAUUUUAAAUGUCUAUUAAAUUUCCCACCCCUCUGGCAACCAAUAUGGCAGCUGCUCUACGACAUCAAGAAAAAAUUGCCCUCUUGGAGAUGAACUUUUGGAAAAUGGACUACUCCUUUUAUACCAUAACUUGCUUUAAACAUGAGGCAGAAUGACCUAAAUUUUGAUCUGUGCACAUUUGGCUCAAGUCAUGCAGCCCCAUAUCAUUUUCACCUUUACUUAAAGACUACACAAAUGAAGAUAGAACUUCUUCCUCUGAAAAACACCUUUGUGCUUGAGUUGUAUUUCCCUCAAGGCAACCUCCAGGAAGCAAAAAUAAUCCAAGGAGCAAACUUUCCAAAUCAAAAUCAAAUAAAUGGAGAAUGAGACAGCAUCUUUUAUGGAGACAACCUCCUUCAAGCCUUUCCUCUGAUGUUGAUGCUACCAGAGCUCUAUACUUUGAGAUAUGUUGACGGAAGCUGUCAUAUGGAAAAGAGGAAUCAAUACCAAAAUAAACCCUAAUGGCUCAAAUUUCA